rnacentral:rRNA from 1 species
UACGGAAGGCAGCAGGUGGGGAAUAUUGCACAAUGGGCGAAAGCCUGAUGCAGCUAUGCCGCGUGUAUGAAGAAGGCCUUAGGGUUGUAAAGUACUUUCAUCGGGGAGGAAAAACAAAACUAAUAAUUUUAUUUCUUGACGUUACCCGAAAAAGAAGCACCGGCUAACUCCGUGCCAGCAGCCGCGGUAAUACGGAGGGUGCUAGCGUUAAUCAGAAUUACUGGGCGUAAAGAGCACGUAGGUGGUUUUUUUAAGUCAGAUGUGAAAUCCCUGGGCUUAACCUAGGAACUGCAUUUUGAAACUGAAAUACUAGAGUAUCGUAGAGGGAGGUAGAAUUCUAGGUGUAGCGGUGAAAUGCGUAGAUAUCUGGAGGAAUACCUGUGGCGAAAGCGGCCUCCUAAACGAAUACUGACACUGAGGGUGCGAAAGCGUGGGGAGCAAAACAGGGAUUAGAUACC